rnacentral:rRNA from 1 species
AGAGUUUGAUCCUGGCUCAGGAUGAACGCUGGCGGCGUGCCUAAUACAUGCAAGUCGAGCGAACGGACGAGAAGCUUGCUUCUCUGAUGUUAGCGGCGGACGGGGGAGUAACACGUGGAUAACCUACCUAUAAGACUGGGAUAACUUCGGGAAACCGGAGCUAAUACCGGAUAAUAUUUUGAACCGCAUGGUUCAAAAGUGAAAGACGGUCUUGCUGUCACUUAUAGAUGGAUCCGCGCUGCAUUAGCUAGUUGGUAAGGUAACGGCUUACCAAGGCAACGAUGCAUAGCCGACCUGAGAGGGUGAUCGGCCACACUGGAACUGAGACACGGUCCAGACUCCUACGGGAGGCAGCAGUAGGGAAUCUUCCGCAAUGGGCGAAAGCCUGACGGAGCAACGCCGCGUGAGUGAUGAAGGUCUUCGGAUCGUAAAACUCUGUUAUUAGGGAAGAACAUAUGUGUAAGUAACUGUGCACAUCUUGACGGUACCUAAUCAGAAAGCCACGGCUAACUACGUGCCAGCAGCCGCGGUAAUACGUAGGUGGCAAGCGUUAUCCGGAAUUAUUGGGCGUAAAGCGCGCGUAGGCGGUUUUUUAAGUCUGAUGUGAAAGCCCACGGCUCAACCGUGGAGGGUCAUUGGAAACUGGAAAACUUGAGUGCAGAAGAGGAAAGUGGAAUUCCAUGUGUAGCGGUGAAAUGCGCAGAGAUAUGGAGGAACACCAGUGGCGAAGGCGACUUUCUGGUCUGUAACUGACGCUGAUGUGCGAAAGCGUGGGGAUCAAACAGGAUUAGAUACCCUGGUAGUCCACGCCGUAAACGAUGAGUGCUAAGUGUUAGGGGGUUUCCGCCCCUUAGUGCUGCAGCUAACGCAUUAAGCACUCCGCCUGGGGAGUACGACCGCAAGGUUGAAACUCAAAGGAAUUGACGGGGACCCGCACAAGCGGUGGAGCAUGUGGUUUAAUUCGAAGCAACGCGAAGAACCUUACCAAAUCUUGACAUCCUUUGACAACUCUAGAGAUAGAGCCUUCCUCUUCGGGGGACAAAGUGACAGGUGGUGCAUGGUUGUCGUCAGCUCGUGUCGUGAGAUGUUGGGUUAAGUCCCGCAACGAGCGCAACCCUUAAGCUUAGUUGCCAUCAUUAAGUUGGGCACUCUAAGUUGACUGCCGGUGACAAACCGGAGGAAGGUGGGGAUGACGUCAAAUCAUCAUGCCCCUUAUGAUUUGGGCUACACACGUGCUACAAUGGACAAUACAAAGGGCAGCGAAACCGCGAGGUCAAGCAAAUCCCAUAAAGUUGUUCUCAGUUCGGAUUGUAGUCUGCAACUCGACUACAUGAAGCUGGAAUCGCUAGUAAUCGUAGAUCAGCAUGCUACGGUGAAUACGUUCCCGGGUCUUGUACACACCGCCCGUCACACCACGAGAGUUUGUAACACCCGAAGCCGGUGGAGUAACCUUUUAGGAGCUAGCCGUCGAAGGUGGGACAAAUGAUUGGGGUGAAGUCGUAACAAGGUAGCCGUAUCGGAAGGUGCGGCUGGAUCACCU